AUGUUGGCCGGGCGACGGUUGUCCCGGUUUAAGCGUGUAGGCUGGUUUUCCAGGCAAAUCCGGAAAACUAAGGCUGAGGCGUGAUGACGAGGCACUACGGUGCUGAAGCAACAAAUGCCCUGCUUCCAGGAAAAGCCUCUAAGCAUCAGGUAACAUCAAAUCGUACCCCAAACCGACACAGGUGGUCAGGUAGAGAAUACCAAGGCGCUUGAGAGAACUCGGGUGAAGGAACUAGGCAAAAUGGUGCCGUAACUUCGGGAGAAGGCACGCUGAUAUGUAGGUGAAGUCCCUCGCGGAUGGAGCUGAAAUCAGUCGAAGAUACCAGCUGGCUGCAACUGUUUAUUAAAAACACAGCACUGUGCAAACACGAAAGUGGACGUAUACGGUGUGACGCCUGCCCGGUGCCGGAAGGUUAAUUGAUGGGGUCAGCGCAAGCGAAGCUCUUGAUCGAAGCCCCGGUAAACGGCGGCCGUAACUAUAACGGUCCUAAGGUAGCGAAAUUCCUUGUCGGGUAAGUUCCGACCUGCACGAAUGGCGUAAUGAUGGCCAGGCUGUCUCCACCCGAGACUCAGUGAAAUUGAACUCGCUGUGAAGAUGCAGUGUACCCGCGGCAAGACGGAAAGACCCCGUGAACCUUUACUAUAGCUUGACACUGAACAUUGAGCCUUGAUGUGUAGGAUAGGUGGGAGGCUUUGAAGUGUGGACGCCAGUCUGCAUGGAGCCGACCUUGAAAUACCACCCUUUAAUGUUUGAUGUUCUAACGUUGACCCGUAAUCCGGGUUGCGGACAGUGUCUGGUGGGUAGUUUGACUGGGGCGGUCUCCUCCUAAAGAGUAACGGAGGAGCACGAAGGUUGGCUAAUCCUGGUCGGACAUCAGGAGGUUAGUGCAAUGGCAUAAGCCAGCUUGACUGCGAGCGUGACGGCGCGAGCAGGUGCGAAAGCAGGUCAUAGUGAUCCGGUGGUUCUGAAUGGAAGGGCCAUCGCUCAACGGAUAAAAGGUACUCCGGGGAUAACAGGCUGAUACCGCCCAAGAGUUCAUAUCGACGGCGGUGUUUGGCACCUCGAUGUCGGCUCAUCACAUCCUGGGGCUGAAGUAGGUCCCAAGGGUAUGGCUGUUCGCCAUUUAAAGUGGUACGCGAGCUGGGUUUAGAACGUCGUGAGACAGUUCGGUCCCUAUCUGCCGUGGGCGCUGGAGAACUGAGGGGGGCUGCUCCUAGUACGAGAGGACCGGAGUGGACGCAUCACUGGUGUUCGGGUUGUCAUGCCAAUGGCACUGCCCGGUAGCUAAAUGCGGAAGAGAUAAGUGCUGAAAGCAUCUAAGCACGAAACUUGC
rnacentral:rRNA from 1 species